CAACUACUCCCUCUGUCCCAAAUUUCUUGUCUUAGAUUUGUCUAGAUAUGGAUGUAUCUAAUACUAAAAUGUGACUUGAUACAUCUUGAUACAUCCGUAUCUAGACAAAUCUAAGACAGGAAUUUUGGGAGGGAGGGAGUACUUU
rfam:Triticum urartu cultivar G1812 contig635332, whole genome shotgun sequence.